UCUUAUGAAUGAGCAAAGAAAGUGAUUCCUUGAGAUGGAAUUUACUUCUGGUGUAGAUGCUGUGAA
rnacentral:pre_miRNA from 1 species